rnacentral:misc_RNA from 1 species
AAGUCGUAACAAGGUUUCCGUAGGUGAACCUGCGGAAGGAUCAUUAAAAAAUCGUUUGAGCCGCAAGGCUCUAUUAUUUUGUGAAACGUUUGUGGAAGUUUUGUGAUGACGGUGGAUGAAUGUGGGUGGAUGUUGCAGACUUGUGUUUGCAAAGAAAAUCUACUACCAGCGUCACUACUGGCUUCCCUAAUUUAUUAAACAUAUGUCUUUGAUGCUGAGGAAAUUAUAUCUAUAAUAUAUAUACAACUUUCAACAGUGGAUCUCUCGGCUCUU